CAAUUGUUAGUUCUCCACCUUCGCUGCUUUACUUUUGUAUCUUAGCGGCUGGCGCGCGAGCAGGUCCUAAAAUUAUCAACAUUAUUAGAUUCGCGAUUAUAAAAUGUGCCGCGUUUUGAAACAAGUGCAUGUAUAAAUAAAUGGUUUACAAAAUGAUACUAAGAUUUUUCAAUUGGCCAAAAUGUUGGUUACUCCUGGGAUUUUUCUCUGUAUCAGCCAUCGAUUACGACCAACCCAAUAUACUUUUUAUAAUGGUUGACGAUAUGUUCCAAGUCAUAACACCCAAGGCAGAAGGAGAUACAAACUAAUAUUUUUGAUAAAUUUAUUAUGGCUUUUUUUACCAAUUUUAUCCAUCAGGUUAUAAUAUUUAAUCGUUUUUAAUCCUUAAAUUGUUAUAGGC